CCGUAGAGGAUGAUCAGUCACACUGGAACUGAGACACGGUCCAGACUCCUACGGGAGGCAGCAGUGGGGAAUAUUGGACAAUGGGCGAAAGCCUGUCCAGCCAUGCCGCGUGUGUGAAGAAGGUCUUCGGACUGUAAAGCACUUUUGUUGGGAGGAAGGGCAUUAACCUAAUACGUUAGUGCUUUGACGUUACCGACAGAAUAAGCACCGGCUAACUCUGUGCCAGCGCCGCGGUAAUUUCAGAGGGUGCAAGCGUUAAUCGGAAUUACUGGGCGUAAAGCGCGCGUAGGUGGUUUGUUAAGUUGAAUGUGAAACCCCGGGCUCAACCCUGGGAACUGCAUCCAAAACUGGCAAGCUAGAGUAUGGUAGAGGGUGGUGGAAUUUCCUGUGUAGCGGUGAAAUGCGUAGAUAUAGGAAGGAACACCAGUGGCGAAGGCGACCACCGGACUGAUACUGACACUGAGGUGCGAAAGCGUUAGGGGAGCAAACAGGAUUAGAUACCCUGGUAGUCCACGCCGAAACGAUGUCAACUAGCCGUUGGGAGUCUUGAACUCUUAGUGGCGCAGCUAACGCAUUAAGUUGACCGCCUGGGGAGUACGGNCGCAAGGUUAAAACUCAAAUGAAUUGACGGGGGCCCGCCAAGCGGUGGAGCAUGUGGUUUAAUUCGAAGCAACGCGAAGAACCUUACCAGGCCUUGACAUCCAAUGAACUUUCUAGAGAUAGAUUGGUGCCUUCGGGAACAUUGNGACAGGUGCUGCAUGCUCCU
rnacentral:rRNA from 1 species